rnacentral:rRNA from 1 species
CCUACGGGCGGCAGCAGUGGGGAAUAUUGGACAAUGGGCGAAAGCCUGAUCCAGCCAUGCCGCGUGUGUGAAGAAGGCCUUCGGGUUGUAAAGCACUUUCAGUGGGGAAGAAAGCCUUGGGGCUAAUACCCUCGAGGAAGGACAUCACCCACAGAAGAAGCACCGGCUAACUCCGUGCCAGCAGCCGCGGUAAUACGGAGGGUGCGAGCGUUAAUCGGAAUUACUGGGCGUAAAGCGCGCGUAGGCGGUCUGAUAAGCCGGUUGUGAAAGCCCCGGGCUCAACCUGGGAACGGCAUCCGGAACUGUCAGGCUAGAGUGCAGGAGAGGAAGGUAGAAUUCCCGGUGUAGCGGUGAAAUUCGUAGAGAUCGGGAGGAAUACCAGUGGCGAAGGCGGCCUUCUGGACUGACACUGACGCUGAUGUGCGAAAGCGUGGGUAGCAAACAGGAUUAGCUACCCCAGUAGUC